rnacentral:rRNA from 1 species
CAGCAGUCGCCGCGGGAAUACAGAGGGUGCGAGCGUUAAUCGGAUUUACUGGGCGUAAAGCGUGCGUAGGCGGCUUCUUAAGUCGGAUGUGAAAUCCCUGAGCUUAACUUAGGAAUUGCAUUCGAUACUGGGAAGCUAGAGUAUGGGAGAGGAUGGUAGAAUUCCAGGUGUAGCGGUGAAAUGCGUAGAGAUCUGGAGGAAUACCGAUGGCGAAGGCAGCCAUCUGGCCUAAUACUGACGCUGAGGUACGAAAGCAUGGGGAGCAAACAGGAUUAGAUACCCCAGUAGUCCCUGUCUCUAUACA